AAGAGAGACUUUACACGAACACAAACAAAGAAUCACAGCGAGUGAGAGAGAGCUCUAGAAGGAGAGAGAAUGGUGCUGUGGGAGAUCACGUUGGGGACUGCGUAUUUCUUGGGGCUGAAGCGGACAUACAGGCUCGCUUUGAGGAUUCAGCGCAAGGUCGUUAGCCCCAAGCACCCCAAGAUCCGCCAGUUUCUUCACAGACGAACACAUGCUGUAUUUGAUGUAGCACUUAAGGUUCACCGGAACAUUCAAGAGAGGGAUAUAGAAGUUGGUCGGAAUCUUGGUAACUGGAUUUUGCGGUGGCUUGACCGAAUGAAACCAUUAGCUCAGAUUGCUGGUUCCUCUACUGGAAAAUCCCCCAAUAGUACUAGCUCAGGGUUGAGCAUGACAAAGCAGAUAAGCAACUCCUCCAAUCUGAAACCUCCUUGGGAAAUCCAAAUAUCCAGAAAUGAGGAUUCUGCUAGGCAUAUGUUUACCUCGUCCAGAAAUAUUUGGCCUAAGCCUUUUCCAACCAUUUCGAUGAUGAUGCAGCCACCAAAGCCUGCUGGGACUAUGACCCAGUACAGGCACUUCUCUGGCCCUGAAAUGUUGAAAUCAAAUUCUAAAAGAGGUUGGUUGGAGGGAGGUCUCCGGAAGCACAUAAUGCAGAGGAUGCUACAAAACUAACAGUGAAAGCCCUUUUGGUGUUUCUCAGUAGAAAGAAGGAAGACUUUUGAAAUUCAACAAUGGAAGAGAUGGUUCGAAGUUGGUGAUUGAAAGGACACAAUGUAAUGAGAAACGGACGGCAACAACAUUUUUAUGCUAGCUGCACUAAAACAGCCCGACCGUGGAACAACCAGAACCAGUUGUAGUGCAGUCCGAAUGUACAACCCUGCUAUUACUCCUCAGGAUGUAGAUUAAAUUUUUCAUAACAGAUCAUUUUAAUUUUACUUGCUAGCAUGAAUUAUUUAUUUUAUAAUUUAAGGGAAAAGUGCUCUAGAGGUAUGAACUUUGAUCAAAUCACU